rnacentral:lncRNA from 1 species
AUAAAUAUGUGUGAGAUUCUAGUAAUCCUCAGACCUACAAGAAAAAGCCGAGCAAAUAAAUUAGUUGUUUUCUUAAUCAUCUCUAUUCUCUAAAUCACUCAACUUAUCAUAACUUCAAUCAUCAUGGACAUGAAGAAGAUCACCGUCGUCGUCGUCCUUGUCAUCGCAGCCCUGAUGAGCCUCGUCGUGACUGCAAAGGACUCAGCAAAGACACCAGCGGCUGCCCCUAAGGGCGCCAAGCCUCCAGUAGCCUCAGCUACACCCGCCGGUGCUCCUAAGGAUGCUCAUGCCUCUAAAGCAGGUGGCGCCGCCCCCACUACCUUGUCCAUUGCUGGAUCAUUCUUCAACUCCUUCCUUGUGUCUUUCUUUGCCUAUUACAUGCAGUAAGCUCCCUGAAGGCUAGGAAUAAGAGAUUCAUGAUUAGAAAUUCUUGGAAGAUGGGCCGGCUUUCCAAGAGUAGAGAAAUGAUUUUUGGAUUUAAUUUGAUUAUGCAAUACUUUAUUAUCUAUGUAUUUUCUUCAUUUAAAUUAAAUUAAAUUGUCUUUGUUACUCAACUCCUCUAUUCUCUCUUAACUUCUUUCUUCUAGAAUAAUGUGUACGUACUGGGUUGAAGCUUACCACAAUAUGUACCAAUUUUUCAUUUCACCAUAUUGUAUAUUGAUGUUUUAGUUACCGAACAUCUACCAUCCUUGGAGAUCAAAAUUAAAUGUUACAAGCGUUAAAAGAUUGAAAAAAGAUGACAACUUGCUAUGAAGACUGAAAAAAAUCUCCUUC